UACAGGGGGGGGCAAGCGUUGUUCGGAAUUACUGGGCGUAAAGGGCGCGUAGGCGGCCACGCACGUCCGUUGUGAAAUCGCCCGGCUCAACUGGGCGGGGUCAGCGGAUACGGUGUGGCUCGAGCAAGCUAGGGGGCAAUGGAAUUCCCGGUGUAGUGGUGGAAUGCGUAGAUAUCGGGAGGAACACCAGUGGCGAAGGCGGUUGCCUGGAGCUUUGCUGACGCUGAGGCGCGAAAGCGUGGG
rnacentral:rRNA from 1 species